rnacentral:rRNA from 1 species
CCCAGACUCCUACGGGAGGCAGCAGUGGGGAAUAUUGCACAAUGGGGGAAACCCUGAUGCAGCGACGCCGCGUGAGUGAAGAAGUAUUUCGGUACGUAAAGCUCUAUCAGCAGGGAAGAAAAACCGACCAUAGGGUCGCUAGACGGUACCUGAUUAAGAAGCCCCGGCUAACUACGUGCCAGCAGCCGCGGUAAUACGUAGGGGGCGAGCGUUAUCCGGAUUUACUGGGUGUAAAGGGAGCGUAGACGGCAGCGCAAGUCUGAAGUGAAAUGCCGGGGCUUAACCCCGGAACUGCUUUGGAAACUGAGCAGCUAGAGUGCAGGAGAGGUAAGUGGAAUUCCUAGUGUAGCGGUGAAAUGCGUAGAUAUUAGGAGGAACACCAGUGGCGAAGGCGGCUUACUGGACUGUAACUGACGUUGAGGCUCGAAAGCGUGGGGAGCAAACAGGAUUAGAUACCCCGGUAGUA